CCUACGGGUGGCUGCAGUGGGGGAUAUUGGACAAUGGGGGCAACCCUGAUCCAGCGACGCCGCGUGAGUGAAGAAGUCUUUCGGUUUGUAAAGCUCUAUCAGCAGGGAAGAAAGAAAUGAAGGUACCUGAGUAAGACGCUCAGGCUAACUGCGUGCCAGCCGCCGCGGUAAUACGUAGGGGGCAAGCGUUAUACGGAAUUACUGGGUGUAAAGAGAGCGUAGACGGUAAUGCAAGUCUGAAGUGAAAGGCGGGGGCCCAACCCGCGGACUGCCCUGGAAACUGUGUAACUGGAGUGCAGGAGAGGCAGGUGGAAUUCCAGGUGUAGCGGUGAAAUGCGUAGAUAUUAGGAGGAAUACCAGUGGCGAAGGCGGCCUGCUGGACGAUAACUGACGUUGAGGCGCGAAAGCGUGGGGAGCAAACAGGAUUAGAUACCCUAGUAGUC
rnacentral:rRNA from 1 species